AAAGACUUAGUCCUAACCUUACCGUUAAUUAUAGCUAGACAUAUACAUGCAAGUAUCCGCAUCCCAGUGCAGAUGCCCUUAAUUUCUUCCUAUAUAAUCAAGAUAAAGGAGCAGACAUCAGGCACGCCCUAGCAGCCCAAGACGUCUUGCUUAGCCACACCCCCACGGGUAUUCAGCAGUAAUUAACAUUAAGCAAUAAGUGAAAACUUGACUUAGUCAUAGCUACCCAGGGCUGGUAAAUCUUGUGCCAGCCACCGCGGUCACACAAGAAGCCCAAAUUAACUGUUCACGGCGUAAAGAGUGGUAAAGUAUUAUCCGGACAACUAAGACCAAAGCACAACUAAGCUGUCAUAAGCUAAAGAUGUACUUAAGACCCGCUAUUAAAACGAUCUUAGACCCCCAUGACUAAUCAAACACCACGAAAGCCAGGGUCCAAACUGGGAUUAGAUACCCCACUAUGCCUGGCCCUAAAUCUUGAUGCGCUAUAUCACCAAGCCAUCCGCCUGGGAACUACGAGCACAAACGCUUAAAACUCUAAGGACUUGGCGGUGCCCCAAACCCACCUAGAGGAGCCUGUUCUGUAAUCGAUAACCCACGAUACACCCAACCUCCCCUUGCCAAACAGCCUACAUACCGCCGUCUCCAGCUCGCCCUUCCUGAGGGUUCAAUAGCGAGCAUGAUAACCCUAAUUUCGCUAAUAAGACAGGUCAAGGUAUAGCUAAUGGGGUGGAAGAAAUGGGCUACAUUUUCUAAAGUAGAACACUUAUUUUAAAACGAAAAGGGGCGUGAAAUCGCCCCUAGAAGGCGGAUUUAGCAGUAAAAAGGGACAAUAAAGCUCUCUUUAAGCCGGCCCUGAGGCACGUACAUACCGCCCGUCACCCUCCUCGCAGGCCGACACUAUAAAACAUAGCUAAUACACUCACAGGCCAAAGAUGAGGU
rnacentral:rRNA from 1 species